GAUGAAGAACGUAGCGAAAUGCGAUAAGUAAUGUGAAUUGCAGAAUUCAGUGAAUCAUCGAAUCUUUGAACGCACCUUGCGCCCUUUGGCUAUUCCGAAGGGCAUGCCUGUUUGAGUAUCAUGAACACCUCAACCCUCAUGGUUUGCCAUGACGGGCUUGGACUUUGGGGGUCUUGCUGGAUUGUAGUCAGCUCCCCUUAAACAAAUCAGCUUGCCAGUGUUUGGUGGCAUCACAGGUGUGAUAACUAUCUACGCUUGUGGUUUUACAUCAGAUAACCUUCAGUGAUGGAGGUUCACCGGAGCUCAUAAAGGUGUCUCUCCUCUGUGAGGACAGCUCUUUGAAUGUUUGAUCUCAAAUCAGGCAGGACUACCCGCUGAACUUAAGCAUAUCAAUAAGCGGAGGA
rnacentral:misc_RNA from 1 species